AAAACUUUAAGUUAAAUUAAACUAAUAAUCUUCAAAAUUAUAAAUAAAAUUUUAUUUUUUAAGUUUUA
rnacentral:tRNA from 1 species